AGUGUGACCCUCGUCUACCGCGUGGAAUCGGAGAGAAAAUUAUUUUACGUCAAGUGGCCAAAUCUCUAGGACUGACAGGUUCAAGUGAGUUACCCAAAAGAGCAAUCCAAUUUGGAUCAAGAAUUGCAAAACUGGAAAGUUCCAGCGAGAAAGGCAAUGAAAAGUGCAGCAGAUUUUGAUAUGAAAUCAAGAUAUAACAACAGGAGAUUUUGUUUUUACACUAGUAAGUACUAAGUUCUGUAGAAAAAAGGCUUAUAGUUACUGCAUGUCCACCUCGUACACUGAUUACAGCUAUUUUAUUUAUUUCAUAUUUUAGGAAUUUUAAUUAUUUCUGUUUAAUAGACUUUUUAUGUUAUUAACUACUAAGAAUAAGGCUUAAGAGUUAAGUAAGCUCUGAAACGUCGUUUUUACUAAAAAAAUGUUACAGUGUGUCUACUGUAUACGUGGGGCCAUUCACACAACACUAACCAAUCACAUUUCAGGACAAAAAUUAAAAAAUCAAUAAGCAGCGCAUUGGCUGAAUCAGCAUUCCAUGCUUUAUUUUGAUUGGCGAGUCGUAGUUUGAUUGGAUUUCUUUGUUUUUGUUCUGCAAUGAAGAGCAACGAAAUACAUCUUAAAUCUUGGGUUUACCACCAAUGUCUCGUACAUAACUAGAUUACAUCAACUGGAGUUACUAUACCAAUAACUUAUUGGCAUGAAUAUUUGGACAUGGUUUUACUCUAUAAGUUAAUUAACAACUAUACCUAUGUUGACGAGAGUGCUCUACCAAUAAUAGCGGAAUCUGGAAAAACCAGACGUGAAACCAACGAAAACGUGAUUAGAUUUGUAAUACCCUUUGCUAAAACUGUAACAUACCAGUCUUCAUAUCUCAUUAGAGCGUGCAAAACGUCGAACGUUUUAAAUAGUGACCUCCGUUAAUAGAGAUAUUGGGCUGGAAGCUUUCAAAUCUGGACUAAAGACGUAGUACAAAAACGCGCUAUCCAAUAUUUAUAAUUAUGAC